rnacentral:rRNA from 1 species
GGGUUGUGAGGUUAAGCGACUAAGCGUACACGGUGGAUGCCCUGGCAGUCAGAGGCGAUGAAGGACGUGCUAAUCUGCGAUAAGCGUCGGUGAGGUGAUAUGAACCGUUAUAACCGGCGAUUUCCGAAUGGGGAAACCCAGUGUGUUUCGACACACUAUCAUUAACUGAAUCCAUAGGUUAAUGAGGCGAACCGGGGGAACUGAAACAUCUAAGUACCCCGAGGAAAAGAAAUCAACCGAGAUUCCCCCAGUAGCGGCGAGCGAACGGGGAGGAGCCCAGAGCCUGAAUCAGUGUGUGUGUUAGUGGAAGCGUCUGGAAAGGCGCGCGAUACAGGGUGACAGCCCCGUACACAAAAAUACACAUAUUGUGAGCUCGAUGAGUAGGGCGGGACACGUGGUAUCCUGUCUGAAUAUGGGGGGACCAUCCUCCAAGGCUAAAUACUCCUGACUGACCGAUAGUGAACCAGUACCGUGAGGGAAAGGCGAAAAGAACCCCGGCGAGGGGAGUGAAAAAGAACCUGAAACCGUGUACGUACAAGCAGUGGGAGCCUCUUUAUGGGGUGACUGCGUACCUUUUGUAUAAUGGGUCAGCGACUUAUAUUCUGUAGCAAGGUUAACCGAAUAGGGGAGCCGAAGGGAAACCGAGUCUUAACUGGGCGUUAAGUUGCAGGGUAUAGACCCGAAACCCGGUGAUCUAGCCAUGGGCAGGUUGAAGGUUGGGUAACACUAACUGGAGGACCGAACCGACUAAUGUUGAAAAAUUAGCGGAUGACUUGUGGCUGGGGGUGAAAGGCCAAUCAAACCGGGAGAUAGCUGGUUCUCCCCGAAAGCUAUUUAGGUAGCGCCUCGUGAAUUCAUCUCCGGGGGUAGAGCACUGUUUCGGCAAGGGGGUCAUCCCGACUUACCAACCCGAUGCAAACUGCGAAUACCGGAGAAUGUUAUCACGGGAGACACACGGCGGGUGCUAACGUCCGUCGUGAAGAGGGAAACAACCCAGACCGCCAGCUAAGGUCCCAAAGUCAUGGUUAAGUGGGAAACGAUGUGGGAAGGCCCAGACAGCCAGGAUGUUGGCUUAGAAGCAGCCAUCAUUUAAAGAAAGCGUAAUAGCUCACUGGUCGAGUCGGCCUGCGCGGAAGAUGUAACGGGGCUAAACC